AUUUUUUAUGUGUUAGUUAAAAAUGAAUCCUGCUCAAUGUAAAAUAAAUAGCCGCGGUAUUUUGACUGUGCAAAGGUAGCAUAAUAAUUAGUCUUGUAAUUUAAGAAUGGGAUGAAAGGAUAAACUAGAAGACCUCUUUCUUAUUUGUUGAUUUCAAAUUUUACUUUUUAGUAAAAAGGCUAGAAUGCUUCUCUUAGACAAGAAGACCCUAUAAAACUUUACAUAGAAUAAUUUAAAAAAUUAAUGACAUGUUUUGCUGGGGCGGCGGAAAGAAAAACACUUUUAAAUUAUUGAAAAUAGCAUUAUUUUAAUACCCAGAAAUUCUGAAGUUUAAAUAAGUUACUUUAGGGAUAACAGCGUUAUAUACUUUGAAAGAUCAAAUUGACAAGUGUGUUUGCGACCUCGAUGUUGGAUUAAAUUUCCUUUAUUGCGCAAGAGCGAUGAAAGGAGGUCUGUUCGACCUGUGAAGAUUUCCA
rnacentral:rRNA from 1 species